rnacentral:rRNA from 1 species
GUCGUACCUGCCCAAUGAUAAUAAUUUAAUGGCCGCGGUAUUUUGACCGUGCUAAGGUAGCGUAAUCACUUGUCUUUUAAAUGAAGACCCGUAUGAAUGGUUUGACGAAGGCUUAGCUGUCUCCUUUCCCUAAUCAAUGAAAUUGAUCUCUUCGUGCAAAACCGAAGAUAUUAUUAUAAGACGAGAAGACCCUGUGGAGCUUUAAAUAACUUUGUAGAUCCCGCUAAGAUAUCUUAAAUAAAGAAAUAAGCUAAAAAUAACUACAGAACAUUUUCAGUUGGGGCGACGGCGGAGCACACAAAACCUCCGUGAAGACUAAGAACACAAAUUUUUUCUUAAAACUCAGAGCUGCCACUCAAGGCCAUAGAAUAUCUAACUUUUAUUGAUCCAAUUACUUGAUCAACGAACCAAGUUACCCCAGGGAUAACAGCGCAAUCCUCUUCCAGAGUCCCUAUCGACAAGGGGGUUUACGACCUCGAUGUUGGAUCAGGACAUCCUAAUGGUGUAACCGCUAUUAAGGGUUCGUUUGUUCAACGAUUAAAGUCCUACGUGAUCUG